rnacentral:rRNA from 1 species
UUUAUUGGAGAGUUUGAUCCUGGCUCAGGACGAACGCUGGCGGCGUGCCUAAUACAUGCAAGUCGAGCGGACUUGAUGGAGAGCUUGCUCUCCG